rnacentral:tRNA from 1 species
GGAGAAGUACCCAAGUGGCUGUAAGGGGCUCCCCUGCUAAGGGAGUAGGCUCUGCGAAGGGGCGCGAGGGUUCAAAUCCCUCCUUCUCCG